rnacentral:tRNA from 1 species
GCCUGGGUGGCUCAGUUGGUUGAGCGUCAGACUUUGGUUCAGGUCAUGAUCACACUGUUCAUGAGUUCAAGCCCCGUGUCAGGCU